UGCAUGAGUGGUGUUUGGUUUGUUACGGAUGGUUGGAUGUCUGCCUGUGCAGCAACUUCCAUGCGGGCUUACCUCUUCAAUUGUGCUACAAGACUUGUUUGGCUUGCAGCAUUCGGUGGGUUUCUUGUGUUGCUUACCUAGUCGAUGGCAUUGUUUGUCCCUAUAAGUUGCAUUUUGUAACACGCUGCUUGCGGCGUGAUACAAACAAUGAAGCAACCUUUGUUGUUCAACCUGUUGCUGCUCAUGCAUCGACGGCUUGGCCCAUGAAGUGUUGAUUGGUCCCUUGGAUAUGGAACAUGAUGCGGGCACAAGUUCGUCAUAGAUCUUGUAUUUGCCCUUAUCGAGUGAUUUAGCUUCUUUAAAUGACCGUCGUCCAUGUAUCGACAAGUCGGUGUAUGGAGGAUUGUGUCAAACAGGAAUGCUACCUGGUU
rnacentral:misc_RNA from 1 species